rnacentral:rRNA from 1 species
CACGGGGGGAGCAAGCGUUGUUCGGAAUCACUGGGCGUAAAGGGCGUGUAGGCGGUCAAGUAAGUGGAAUGUGAAAUGCCCCGGCUCACCCGGGGACCUGCAUCCCAAACUGCUUGGCUUGAGUAUGGGAGAGGAUGAGGGAAUUCCUGGUGUAGCGGUGAAAUGCGUAGAUAUCAGGAGGAACACCGGUGGCGAAGGCGCUCAUCUGGCCCAAUACUGACGCUGGAGGCGCGAAAGCUAGGGUAGCGAACGGG